UACGUAGGGUGCAAGCGUUGUCCGGAAUUAUUGGGCGUAAAGAGCUCGUAGGCGGUUUGUCGCGUCUGCUGUGAAAACCCGAGGCUCAACCUCGGGCCUGCAGUGGGUACGGGCAGACUAGAGUGCGGUAGGGGAGAUUGGAAUUCCUGGUGUAGCGGUGGAAUGCGCAGAUAUCAGGAGGAACACCAAUGGCGAAGGCAGAUCUCUGGGCCAUUACUGACGCUGAGGAGCGAAAGCGUGGGGAGCGAACAGG
rnacentral:rRNA from 1 species